AUGGUACUACGGGACAACACUGGACAGCUCAUCUUCGCUGCGUACCGGGUGAUAUUCCACUGUAAUGACGCUCUGAAAGCCGAAUUACAAGCGAUAAUGCAAGGCAUGGCUUUGGCCAUCCAACAUUCUACACUUCAAGUGGUCGUUCAGACGGACUCGGUGGAAGCGCUCUCAAGUUUGUUGAGCAAGGGACUGGAGCGUUCGGCGUAUGGGCAUCUGGUUCGCGAGAUCAAGGAGUUGAUUGUAACACUAUUAUCCAGUAAUAAAACUCCUUUACCCCGAAAAAAGAAACUUGCAUGGACGGCGUGGACCUAA
rnacentral:rRNA from 1 species